rnacentral:rRNA from 1 species
CCUACGGGAGGCAGCAGUGAGGAAUAAUGGGCAAUGGCCGGAAGGCUGACCCAGCAACGCCGCGUGGAGGACGAAGGCUUUCGGGUUGUGAACUCCUUUUCCGGGGGACGAGGAAGGACGGUACCCUGGGAAUAAGUCACGGCUAACUACGUGCCAGCAGCCGCGGUAAUA